rnacentral:rRNA from 1 species
AACGAACGCUGGCGGCAGGCUUAACACAUGCAAGUCGAGCGCCUCGCAAGAGGAGCGGCAGACGGGUGAGUAACGCGUGGGAAUCUACCCAUCUCUACGGAAUAACUCAGGGAAACUUGUGCUAAUACCGUAUACGCCCUUUGGGGGAAAGAUUUAUCGGAGAUGGAUGAGCCCGCGUUGGAUUAGCUAGUUGGUGGGGGAAAGGCCUACCAAGGCGACGAUCCAUAGCUGGUCUGAGAGGAUGAUCAGCCACAUUGGGACUGAGGCACGGCCCAAACUCCUACGGGAGGCAGCAGUGGGGAAUAUUGGACAAUGGGCGCAAGCCUGAUCCAGCCAUGCCGCGUGAGUGAUGAAGGCCCUAGGGUUGUAAAGCUCUUUCACCGGAGAAGAUAAUGACGGUAUCCGGAGAAGAAGCCCCGGCUAACUUCGUGCCAGCAGCCGCCGUAA